rnacentral:misc_RNA from 1 species
AACUGCCAUUCUGUUUGAAUACCCAAAACAAAAGGGUCGGAAUCAGAGAAAUUCUCAUAAAAGAAAACUUGAUUCUGGUGACUUUCAACCCACAUAUUAAUGCUGACUGCAUCAUCUGUGUCAAGUUCAUAAGUCGAGCGCCGUAUGCUCCUUUCUUGUCUCCGAACAUAUCUGUGAGUUAAAAGGUCAUCUCGGUUGCACGGACCUCCUUGUUUCUCCACUGAUUCAUUGUGUCUCUGCAUGAUUGUUUCCACAGACACCCCAACAUAGAGCAGGGACAAAACACGGAGACGAAGGUCCUCUGAGAUGUACGGAGCAUACAUGGCUCGUGUUCCAGCAGACUUUUUGUCCUGUGGGCCAUGGCAUGGUAAUCCUUUCUUAUCCACGUGCUUAUCUUGGUUAUAGAUGAUAAGUGCGACAGAUGGUUCAGCAAUUAAGCGUUUCACAAUAAAGUGGCAGGUGCACCCUCGCUUUGUAUUAGGCCGACCAGAAGGUUUUUUCUUAGGAACGUACGUGGUUCUACUCGGUCGAACGACUCCACCCUUUCUAUGAUCAUCAGGACCAAACGAGCACCAGUACAGAAUAUAUUCAAGGAUGCCGUCAACUUUAGGCUUGUACGUCGACUCUGCAGGCCGACGUCUCCGGGCUUCAACAUGAAAUCUUGUUGGACAUUCUUUAUUAGCAGAUUCACCCCUAACAAAGUCAUCUACUCUAGCAAAUGGAAUGAGAGCAACUCUGUCUAUGUUAUCGCGCCAACCUUCUACCUUAGACCACACAAGUUCAGCAGAAGAAAACUCCAAAG